CCAGCUGCUGUGGCCCCAAGCCACUUCUCCGGGGAAGACACCCCAGCCCCACUGGAGGCCACCACUGGGCACCUCUCAAACUCUGAGCCAGACUAAGGGAUGUGUCCUGAGCAGUGGGCCCAACGGCACCCAGGUGGCCUGGUCCUCCUAGGAGAGAGCACUGGAGAGGGAGUCCAGCGGCCAUCUUUGUAAAGUCUGUAUCUUUCUGAACUUCAGUCUCUUCCACAUCCACACACCAGGAUCACAGGCAGGGACGUGCCCGGUCUUCGCAGGCCACAAACCGUAACCAGUCGUAUCCUUCCAGUGGGGGCAAAGCUCUGUCCUUUUUCCACCGCGUCCCAGCCCUCGGCACAGGGCCUGGUGCAUGUGAGGGGCCCAGUAAACGCCGGCUGGAUUAACGAGUUGGCGAAUGAAUGAAUGAGAGUCUGGGUAUGUCGUCUAGUUCAACCAUUCAAUCCAACGUGGUAUCGCGAAGGGCCUACUAUGUGCCAGGAGCUGGGCAGGCGACCGAGGAAACUCACAAAUAGCAAGACGGGAUUUCUUACCCUUCCGAGCUCAUGGUGUAAGAGCAGAGCAACCUGUCGUCAGGGCCCGUGUGUGUAUUCCUGAGUAUCCUCUGUCUACUGAACUUGACUCUCAACCCUGGGCCGCUGCUCAGUGUCUGCGGCGGCUGAACUCUGAACUCUAGGGCAGCCCCACGAUCCUUCCUCCUGGCGUUCACACCCUUGUGUGAUCCCCUCCCCUGGAGUGCGGACAGGGCUACGAUUUGCUUCUAACCAACCGACUGUGGCAAACGGGACGGGGUGUACAUAGUCACGCGUAUGUGACUCUGUUAUAUACCUCCUUCUCGUGAAGAGGCUCCGUCUCCCUUGCUGGCUUUGACGAGGCAGAGAGCCAUGCUGGGGAAGGAACGGAGGGAGGCUCGCCCCUGACACCCAGCAGGGAAAUGAGGCGCUUGGUCUGAUCACAGCGAGGAACUGAAUUCUGCCAGCAAUUGUGGGAGCUUAGAAGUAGACUCUUCCCCGGUCAAGCCUCAGCUGAGACUACAGCUCCUGCCAACACUUUGUCACCUUGUGAGACCCGGGCUGGUAUUUAAGCCGAGCCCAUAUUCCCGAGCCACAGAAACUGACGGCCAGCCAGAAGGCCCAGAAGCCACCAGGCAAGAAGCACCCUCAGGAGAUGCGGGCACCCAGCCUUUCCGGCUUUGCAGAGGCGUGGCCAAUGUGUCCCAAUAACCACCUCCACCUCCAUUUUUAUUCUGCUGAGUUAUGCAGAGUCAGUUUCUGUGGCUUGAAACUGAAGAAUCCCAGCCUCCUCGUAUGGUCUUUCUAGAAGGAGGAGCCGGCCAAGAACAAUUGCUGUCCCGCUAGGGAAAGUCUCUUUAGUUGGAGACUUGAGAAAAGAGAGGUCGUGAUGUAAUGUGUGCCUUCGUGCUGGUCGCAGUCAGAAAACCUUGAAAAGCCGCUGCCUCCGACGAUGUGCCCUUUGUUCACCAGCAGGGGCAAGACAGCUGGCACGGAAGGAGCUUCCUGUCUGCCUGGGCUCCCUGCUCACACACCCGGACCAAAGGCUCGGGCCACACCCAGCUGGGGGCCCCCACCCCGGCAACCGCACAGCGCCCGGCACACCUCUCCGUCCUCCAGGUUCCCUCUUCUCUCAGCCUCACGCCCAACCCCGCCUUCACUCCGGGAGGCCCUGUCGAAAUGACACUUCCUCUGGCCAUCAACCCACAGGGGGCCAGGCAGGCUGUCCCCUUCCGCUGCUGGCCGUCCCACAGUCUGCUGGAGCGCAGCACUCUCACCCUGCAAGUCAACUGCUCCACCACCAGCGGCUUGGCACACUCUGAUUUAGUGGGCGGGUGGAACUGUUCGCUUAAAAUGAAUGAACGAAUGAUCGAUUGAAGGUUGACUUGCUCUGGGGCGGGGGUCCUGGUGUGGAGGCUCGCUGCUUGAAUCGUCAUCCAAGGAUUGCUGUGUACCUACUAGGCACCACGCACGCAAGCGACCGGGGGACACUAGACCGACCAGAAUAGGAUGGCUUCCCUCGAGCAGCUCACAGUCCGGUGAAAGAGACAGGCAUGUGAAUUACCACCCAGAUAAGAGCCCCAGAUGAAGACAUUGGCCAGAGGACCCCACCUUGCUGGGAACACUGUAUCACAACUCCCCCACUAGCCAGUGAACUCCAGGAGAGAUGGCUGGACCCUGCCUGUAUUGCACAUCACCACUGUGGAGCUCUCUUUCUGGUGUCACAUACUAACGCAUUCAAUAUUUACUUAAUGAAUAUUCGGGAAGCUGCAAAUGGUGCAUGUUGACCUGAGAGGAAAGUGGGAGGAAAGUGCUAGGAAGAGGCGCUGAGCAGUCUGUGGGCCCCGGACCGUGGAAGGCACGUCAGCCCUGCUAAGGUCUGGGUCUUUCUCCUGCAGGCACUGGGGAAGCCAUGGAGGAGUUUCAGCGGUCUAGAAAAUUCCUUUGGCUCUGGUGUGCCGGGUGGGUGCCUGUGGCCCAGGAGGGCAGCUGAGAAAGCAAAUGCAGAAGUAACCCAGGCGAGGAGACUUGAGUCUAGAGGCAGCCGGCUGGGGUGCGCUGGCGUGGAGGCAUUUGCGUGCUGUAGAUGUGUGCUACGACGCGAGGACGCUGGCCAGUCAGGCUCUGAGAUCCCACCUCCUCCGGCCACACCGUCCCCUGCUGGGGCAGGGUCCAGUCUCCAGGAGGUUCCUGCCAAACGUCAGCCACUGCUAGCAAACUCAAGAGCUUUGCCUUGGCACUCUUUGUACCCUUAUCUUAUUCUUCUCAUUAAAAAUCAGCUCCUGUUUUGGGUGCCUGGGUGGCUCGGUUGGUUAGGCGACCGACUUCGGCUCAGGUCACGAUCUCGCGGUUUGUGAGUUCGAGCCCCGCGUUGGGCUCUGUGCUGACAGCUCGGAGCCUGGAGCCUGUUUCAGAUUCUGUGUCCCCCCCCCCCCCCCCGC